rnacentral:lncRNA from 1 species
UACAUUGAUUGUAACUUAGCAUUUGGCUAAAUUUAAAGUUGAAGUUGUGUGUGGAGUUCACUUAACUUUUAUCACCUUUAUUUCGAAUGGCGCCUCCGACAAACGGCAAUGGUAGGCUCAAUCAGAGAUGGACUGUCCAGGGCAUGACUGCGCUUGUAACUGGUGGAACCAAAGGACUAGGGUUCUUAAUCUCUCUAGCUAGCUCUUAUAUGCAUUCCUUUCCUGUUAAUAUUGCCUGCAUGUGCUCAUGUUUUUGUUUCUGUUGUUGGUGCAUUGACUAGUCAUGCUGUAGUGCAGGAACUGGCUGAGCUUGGUGCUACUGUGCAUACAUGCUCUAGGAAUGAAUGAAGUAGAUCUUAGUGAAUGCAUACGUGACUGGAAAAGCAAAGGCUUCAAAGUCACCGGUUCAGUGUGCGAUGUAUCAUCUCGAAUUGGACGGGAAAAGCUUAUAAACUAAGUCUCCUCUCUGUUCGAUGGAAAACUUAACAUUCUCGUAUGAUUCAUAUAUGGUGUUAAUUAUAUUGCAUAUUAAUUAAUUGUUGUUAUAAUUAAUCCCGUGGUGCAGUGAGUUCUAAUUUGCUUUACUAGCUAACUACUUAAUUAACACAAUCCAUAUCACUUAUCACUAUGUCUAUGUAUGUAUGCGAUGUGACUCUCUCCAGAUAAACAACGUCUGGACGACUACAAGAAAGGCAACUGUGGAGUUCACAGCAGAAGAUUUCUCGUUUCUCAUGGCUAUCAAUUUUGAGUCUGCUUACAAUCUGUGCCAACUUGCACAUCCUCUUUUGAAAGCUUCGGGGGCAGCAAGUAUUGUUCUAAUGUCUUCUGUUUGUGGGGUGGUGUCAGUUGUUGACGUUGGAUCCAUAUCUGGAGCUACGAAAGGUGACCCUUGACAACAAUUUUCAACAUCAUAUCAUGAGUAGGGCCGGUUUUACAGUAUUAGGGGCGUUAGGCGAAUUUUUUCUUUUUUUUUAUGAGGCCUCUUUUUAUUUAGUAAUUUCAAUACUCAAUAAAAUAAUAAAGAACUAAAAAUUCAUUUUAGUGUUAUUCUUGAAUUUCAACAAAUAAUCAAGAAGAUUCUAAAAAUUUUCAAAAACAAAAUCUAAAAUUUACCAUUAGAAAUUAUACAAAAAGAAGCAAACGAAUAAAUGAGAACAAUACUAUUUUCAAAUAGAAUAUUUAGAAUGAUAGCACAUAAAAAGUUGAGAUCAUGAAUUGAUGGUUAGAUAAUAGAUAUGGACUUUGUAUUUCAAGUAACUAAUUUUUUCUUUUUCUUUUUCUUUUUUGAAUGAACUAAUGCAUGUAAUAAUCUUCAUUGUAGAGAAGAUAAUAAGAAAUGUUUCAUCUAUAAUUUUCUAGAUUAUAAGAUUUUUAGUAGAAAUUAAAAGGAAUACUCAAAGUCAAAGAUUCUAAUGUUGAAUAAUUGAGUUUUUCUAAGAAGUUGAAAAAAUAAAAAAAUUUACUUAUUUUUAUUAGAAAAACUAAUAAUGAAUAAAUUAAUGGUUAGACAAUAUUAUUAAUUGUAUCUCUUUAACAAUAAGAUAACCAAUUAUAGGUUUUUAUAUAAAUAAUAAUAAUUAUUAAUUAUAGGAUAAUUAUUAAUUAGAGAUAUGUCUAAUAGGCUUUUCUACCACACAUAUAAUUUUUUUAAAAGAUUUUAUUAACUAGAGAAUUAUUACUAAUACUAAAAAACUGAGAUCUUUUUAAAAUUUGGGACCUUAAGCAACCGCCUUGUUCGCCUAUACUUAAAGCCACCCAUAAUCAUGAGCUCUAGUCUUGUCUUUGAACCCCGUGACUGGGAGGCUCUAUGGCAUUACGACUUGUCUUUAAACAUUAAACUUGAACUUUCUCUAACCCCAACCCCAACUAGUUAUAUGUUAAUCACAGGAGCCAUGAACCAUCUUGCGAGGAUUUUGGCAUGCGAGUGGGCUCAAGAUAAUAUUAGGACCAAUUCUGUCACACCUUGGUUCGUCGCGACUCCUUUAACUGAAUCUGUAACUAUUUUAUUCACUCUGAUUCUCAAUGUUAUAUAUAUGUAUGCAGUUUCUCUAUAUGAGAAAUUAUUUUAUCAAUUAGAAAAAUGACAUGAUUUAAUGCUCAUUUCAUUUCUGGUGUUAAAUAAAUAUAUAUGGUCACAGAAGAAGCAUACCAGUUGAAGAAUAAAUGGUAACCUUCUAAAUUUUAACCAAAAAAAUUAAUUAGUUUGUAGAGAUCUUGGAUAAUUAAUAAUUUUUAUGUAAAAAAGGGUCAUGGUCAUAUUUAAUUUUUAAUAGUGUGUAUUUUUUUUUUAUGCACGCCAAGAAUAAAAUAGGGUGUUAAAAAUUUAUGAGAAACGUCCUAAUUAGUUAAAAAAAAUUAAUAAGAAAAAUGGAAGUUUUCGUACGAGAUGAUCGAUGUGAUAUUAUCUUGCACGCAGGGAAAGCAUACACUUGCAUAAAAAAAUUUCUUCUACAUAUAAUUAUUACACUGGUCAUGAUAACUUCUAACCCUGCCCGUGAUCUCCAUUGCCUGCCACUGUGUCGGUGCUUCGUAAAUCGUAAUCGGUAAGAUUUUGGAACGUAGCAAAUCAAUUAAUGAUGCAUGGUUGUUACUUACAUAUAGGAUCGACGGCGGAAUUUUGUUCGUUCACAAAAUUGGGUAAGAUGAACGGCCACGGUUAGGUUGCAUAUUCGAAACGUGGGUGCAUGAAUGGGUCCACAGAAGAAAUAAUUGUACAUACUACGGAUAAGUUUCUAGGCCCUAGGUGUCGGUGCUUCGUAAUCGGUAAGAUUUUGGAACGUAGCAAAUCAAAUAAUAAUGCAUGGUUGGUAGACAAUUUAUUGAAAGAGCUCAAUAUUGCCCCAAAUUUAUUGUUACUCAUCAAAGUGCCCCCAGCAGGCAGCAGUUACUGUACACCUUUGUUUGUCAUAUACGAUUUUUCUUUUUUUAUCAAUUUAGCCAUUUAGGCACCUUAACAUACCUAGUAUCAUGCACAAAUUGCUCUCCCUAAAUAUAAUAUUCUCAUAUAAUUUGUUAAUUAACUAAAUUAACAAAUUUAAAUACAUAUAUUUUUCUCCCCCUUCAUCAUAAAAAAAAAUUUAAAUAGCAAAAAAAAAGAGUAACAAAUUUUUAUAAAUUAAAAAACACGUAUUCUUCUCCCCCUUAAUUCUAAAAAAGAAAAUUUAAAGGAAAAUAAUAAGAGUAGCAAAUUUGUUACCCCUAUUGUCCGAGUAGAAAUUUUAAUAGAAUCUCUCCCGAACAACAAGCAUCACCUCAAAUACAAGUUUAAUAAUAUUACAACCAUGUAAUUAUUAUAACAUAAAAUUAUUAUAUAAAACAGCCAUGUAAUCAAAUCAUCAUCAUAUUCCAAAAUCAUCACCAUAAUCAAAACAAUACUCAAAGUGCAUAUUAUUCUCCUCCUUUUAACAACAUCAAAAUAAUAUAUUACUUUGUCUCCUCCUUUAGACCAAAAAAAAUUCAAAAUGCAUAUUAUCCAAAAUCAUAUUAUAUGCUCCCCUAAAUAUAUGGCCAAUUUAAAAAUUUAACCAAAAUGAUUUUAUCCAAAAACAUAUCAUAUUUAUCUCCCCCUUCAUUAUAAAAAAGAAAAGAUAGAUAAAUGGAAUCCAAACAAGAUCAUAAAAAAAAAAAAAUUCAAUGAAGAUAUUACCCAUUUUGUGCGAACAAAAAAUUUCGGCAGGUCUCCCCUUAAAAAUGAACAAAUCCUCAAAUACACAAUAUGGUUAAAAAUACUUCUACAUAGGCUUAAACAAUUAUAACAAACCAACAACUCCAUCAAUUCAUCAAGCAACACACAUAUAAUCAUCAAUCAUCAAAAGCAUCAAGAAAUUCAUUUUAAUAAUAUUAAUAACAUGAUUAGAGGUAUUAAUAAAUUUUAUCAUCCCAAGUUCAUGCCGAAUUUUUGAAAAUAAUUUUUCGUAAAGAGGUUUUGAUUUGUUUACCAAAUUGGCAUGCAAAAGUUAUAAGAACGUAUUAUCAACUAUCCAAGCUCCAUAAUUACUAAUCACAUUUUAAAAAUCAAGACAACUAAAUUCAUCAAACAUCUAAUGUGACAUUUCAAUAUAACUUAAAAAAUCUUAUAUCCUUAAAAUUCUCUAAGUAUAUGUAAUUUUUUUUCGAUAUCAUUUACAACAAGUAAUGCAUAUUCAACAAUACAUCGAUAAAGUACAAAAAAUGCAUCUAUUCACCAAUCAUAGAUUGCAUAAGAUCAAACUUCAUCAAAUACAAUGUAAUCAUCAAAGCACAUUCUUUAUCAUCAAAACUUAAGUAAAACAUAAGUAUAUAAUGGCAAUAUAUAGAUCAUCAAAAUCAACAUAACUAUUAAGAUAAGUCAUCAUAUAUAUUUAUCCAUGCAUCAUGAUUGCAUACAAUAAUAAUUUAAUUAUGUAAACGUACGAGCAUGUUUUUGUAAAUUCAAACUAUUAUCCAUCCAUCAUAAUUUAUUUAACAAAAUCAAUAUGGCAAGAAUUGUUACUAAAACAAUUAAAUCAGAUUCCUCAUCUUUUUCUCUUAGAUCAUAAUCAAGUGAUUAUCCUCACAAGUUUUCAUCAAGGAACUCUCCACUAUUUCUUGAUUAUAGUACCUACAAAAAAAAAAAAAAAAAAUUCAAGUUGUGUCUUUUGGUACCGAAAUACUCCUGGGUCUUUGAGUGUUAGUAAUGAUUCUUUUUAGAACCUAAGCACAUUUUACACCAUAAUAUGCAUUUCUUUUAACUGGACAUCUAUUUUUCAUGUAAUCAGCUUGAUUACAAUAAUGACAUACAACUUAAUUGUUAAUGGAGGUACUCUUCAUAAAGUAAUUCUUAUUAUACUUUUGUUUCAAAUUUGACUUAUAGCUAAUACCUCCUUUGUCAAACACACAUUUUUGUGAAUUAAGUAAGUUAUCUAACAUCUUUUGUCCGUUUGUAAAUUUUAACACAAUUUCAUUGAGCUCGUUACUCUUUUUCUUACGCACUUCAUUUUUUUUCAUCAAAUCAUCAACAUGUGAUCUUUCAUGUUCAUACAAAAUGCUUUGUUUUCCUUUUAACGAAAUAGUUUUAUCAUGCAACAUUUUAUUAUCUAACUCUAAUUCUUUGAUCUUUUCAUUUAAUGAAACAUUGCAUUUUUGCAGGGCAUCUUUUUCUUUUUUUAAGUUAUCUACAUGUGAUUCUAGAUACUUAUGCGAAGUGCUAGGUUUCUCAUUUGAUAAUGCAACUUUAUCAUGCAAUGUUUUAUUAUCUAAUUCUAAGCAUGUAAUCUUUGCACUUAGAAAUUCAUUUUUAUUUGUGAGCUCUACAAUUUUUCUUUUAAGACAUGCAUUCUUUUUACCAAUUUUCAUCAACUCAUCAUGCAAUUCCUUAAAAGUAUCAUGUAAUUCAUCAUAUGUAGGAAGAUCACUUACCUCAUCAAGUUCAUCAUCCGAUUCAUCUCCAAUUGCCAUAAGUGCCAAAUUUGACACUCCAUGAGAUUCCUCUUUAUUUGUAGUCUCCUCAUAUACAACUUCAAGUUUUCUCCAAAUUUCAUAAGCAUUAGAACAAUAUGAAACUCUAUGAAAUUCAUUUUUAUCUAAGGCACAAAAUAAAACAUUCACAUAACCUUGGAAUUUAAAGACAUCUUUUUCCUAUCUGACUUACUUAAAGCAUUCUUCAUAGGAAUGAAUGAACCGUCACAAACUAUUUCUCAUAUUUCAUAGUCUAAGGCUUGUAAAAAUACUCUCAUCCUUGUUUUCCAAUAAUGAUAGUCAUUACCAUAAAAAAAAAUGGAGGUCUAGUGGUGGAUUGGCCUUCCAUGAAGGUUGAGCUAAUUUUAGUUGCUAUUGAUCUUUAACUCUAGACGGUUAAGUCUACACAAGAGCACCUCGCUCUGAUACCAAAUGAAAUACUAACUAGGCAACCCAAGAGGGGGGUGAAUUGGGUUUUUAAAACUUAAGCUAAACAAAUUGCACAAUAAUUUAAUUUAUUGCCUUAAUCAAAUAAAAAACAAUAAAGCUCAAUAAAGCUCAAUAAUAAAAGAGUAAGGGAAGAGAAAACAAACAUAAGGAUUUUUACGUGGUUCGGCAAUCCCUGCCUACGUUCACGCCUCCAAGCACACCGGACUUGAGGAUUUCACUAUCCAAGCCUCCCAAUGCUUUAAAUGCUUACAAUUAACUUCCAAGAUGUUAAUGAACCUUUACUACAAGAGAUUAUCUCCCAAAUCUCUUUAUCCCAAGUGUUUCUUACACUUGUACACUCAUAAUUUGAUAAGAAAUAAAAAUGACAACAAACAACUCUAUUUUAGAGUGGAUAUACAAAUUAUAGCACAAUAAUAAUUUAAGAUAUGAUGAUUAACGAAAACGGAAGCUCAAUAUAUGUUGUGUGUUUUUUGUUUUUGCUUGCUAGAGUUCUUGAAAAUGAAUUGGAUUUGAAUUUAUAUAGCUUGAGCCCAAAAACUAGCCGUUAUGUGUUUUCUAAUGAUAACCGGCUUGCCAUUUUCGGAAUCCGAUUAGCCGCUUUGAUGUUACCAUUACAGCAAAUAUUUGAAUUUUAGAACAUCCGGUACUCUUUCGAAAUCCGAAUAGCUGCUUUCAUUCCAGUAAGCUACUGCUCGAAAUUCGGUCUGCCGCUUAUCAAAUCCGGUUAGCCGCUUGCCACAGUGAAUUAUUUUCUAAAAUUAUAGUUUUGACUCAAAACUUUAUAGAAUUACGAUAUGGCCCAAACGUCAUAAAACUUUACACAGAGGUCAAAUUUCAGAAUUUCUAAAUAAUACUUGUUAUUUCCAAAACUUUUUGAAAUUAUAAUAUGACCCAAAAUGCUAUGAAACGUUUUCAAUAAGUCAUUCUCCAAAAUUUCAAGCAAUACUUGUUGAUUUCAAAGUUUUCAAAACUCUUUCAAUUAAACCAUAAACUUGAAAAACAACUAAUUUCAUAAAAUCAUUUUUCCAUUAAAUAUAAAACUUUUAUAAUGUGAAAAUAAUGAUUUAUUUAAACUGUAUAAAAAAUAAUUUGAGCUUAAAAGAUUAAUCAUUUUUAAUCUUGUUUUGUUAUCAUCAAAAUCAACAUUACGGAAACAUAUAUGUUAACAGAUGAUUUCCCCUUUAAUCCUUGUGUAAUCUAGAUUGAAUCAACACAUCAUUGACUUAAAUUUGCCACAAGCCAAAGUUAAUUUUCCCAUCAAAAUUUUCUAUAUCAAAUUUCACCAGACUUGAAAAUCCUGACAUAUUUAUUUUGCAGAUCAGCCUUUACUCUUCACCACAAACUAUUUGGAUUGGCUCUCACUGCUUCACGUGAACAGUACCGUAUACGUAAACAAUAUCGUAUACUUGAACAGUGCCAUCUACGUGAACAGUGCCCCGACACCAAAACUUCAAUCAAUGGCUCCGAUACCACUGUUAGAAAAUUGAGUUUCCUCCCAAGAUCACUGCAAGCAAUUUAUCAAGUAACAAAUCAAUAGAAAAAUUAAAUGAAAAAUACAUCAAUCUCACAACACAAGAUUUAUGUAGAAAACUCUAAAUCCAAAGAAAAAUCAUGGUCGCUGUCAAAAAAACAACAAGAGAAAAAUAUUUACUAUGUAAAAAUUAUUACAACCACACUCUCAGAAAUAAUUUUCUCUCACCUUAGUCCCAAAUAGACCCAGAACUUUUAAUUUAAGAGUAAUUUAUAUUCAACUCUCAAAUUCUCUCUAAUUACAAGGGGAAGCAAAUAUUUGGAAUGAUAAAACUUAUGAAAUGUUCUCUUAUUUAUAACCAAACGGAUAGCACUGUUUAAAUCGCGUUACUAUUCAAACUGCGUUACUGUUCAUACCGCAUCUUUGUUCAUGCUACGUCACUGUUCAAACCACAUGACUUUUAAAACCGCGUGGCCAAACCGUGUUAUUGUUUACAGUGCUACUUUUUAAAAAAAAAAAAAAUCAAUUUUCAACAAAUGAAAGAUUCCUGCGAGCCCAUUAUAAAAGGAUGAACUAAUGUUCAAUCUAUUUAAUUAGCUUAGUGUGUGAAGUUCACUUAACUUUUAUCACCUUUAUUUCGAAUGGCGCCUCCGACGAACGGCAAUGGCAGGCUCAAUCAGAGAUGGACUGUCCAGGGAAUGACUGCGCUUGUAACUGGUGGAACCAAAGGACUAGGGUUCUUAAUCAAUUCUUAUCUCUCUAGCUAGCUCUUAUAUGCAUUCUUUUCCUAUUAAUAGUGCCUGCAUGUGCUCAUAUUUUUGUUUCUGUUAUUGGUGCAUUGACUAGUCAUGCUGUAGUGGAGGAACUGGCUGAGCUUGGUGCCGCUGUGCAUACAUGCUCUAGGAAUGAAGCAGAUCUUAGUGAAUGCAUACGUGACUGGAAAACUAAAGGCUUCAAAGUCACCGGUUCAGUGUGCGAUGUAUCAUCUCGAAUUGAACGGGAAAAGCUUAUAAACCAAGUCUCCUCUCUGUUCGAUGGAAAACUUAACAUUCUCGUAUGAUUCAUAUAUGGUGUUAAUUAUAUUGCAUAUUAAUUAAUUGUUGUUAUAAUUAAUCCCGUGGUGCAGUGAGUUUUAAUUUGCUUUACUAGCUAACUACUUAAUUAACACGAUCCAUAUCACUUAUCACUAUGUCUAUGUAUGUAUGCGAUGUGACUCUCUCUAGAUAAACAACGUCGGGACGACUAUAAGAAAGGCGACUGUGGAGUACACAGCAGAAGAUUUCUCGUUUCUCAUGGCUACCAAUUUUGAGUCUGCUUACAAUCUGUGCCAACUUGCACAUCCUCUUUUGAAAGCUUCGGGGGCAGCAAGUAUUGUUCUAAUGUCUUCUGUUUGUGGGGUGGUGUCAGUUGUUGACGUUGGAUCCAUAUAUGGAGCUACGAAAGGUGACCCUUGACAACAUUUUUCAACAUCAUAUCAUGAGCUCUAGUCUCAUCUUUGAACCCCGUGACUGGGAGGCUCUAUGGCAUUACGACUUGUCUUUAAACAUUAAACUUGAACUUUCUCUAACCCCAACUAGUUAUAUGUUAAUCACAGGAGCCAUGAACCAUCUUGCGAGGAUUUUGGCAUGCGAGUGGGCUCAAGAUAAUAUUAGGACCAAUUCUGUCACACCUUGGUUCGUCGCGACUCCUUUAACUGAAUCUGUAAGAACUAUUUUAUUCACUCUGAUUCUCAAUGUUAUAUAUAUGAAUGCAGUUUCAUUUUUCUUAUUAAUUAGUUAAAAAAAUUAAUAAGAAAAAUGAAAGUGUGUUUUUCUCCCAAGUUAUUAUAUGAUUGAGGAUGCCCUCUUAUAAAUUUGCAGUUUCUGAAUGAUGAGGCAUUUUUAAAGGAAGUCGAGGGUCGAACUCCAAUGAGACGCACAGGGAAGCCAAAUGAGAUAUCUUCAUUGGUAGCAUUUUUAUGCAUGCCUGCAGCCUCUUAUAUAACUGGUCAGACAAUUUCCGCUGACGGAGGAUUUACAGUGAAUGGAUUCUUCUUCCCAAGUACCUGAUUUAUUUUGUCCACUUCUCUGAAAUCUUCGAAUCUGAUAACUUAGUGUUGUGAUUUCUCAGGCCCUAAUAAACCGCCAGCAUGUAUCUCUUUUGAUUUUUGACUCAUCUUUUCGAUUGUCGUUUAUUGCCCUUUUAUCAAGUGUUGUCGCUUUAUUCCAUUAAAGUCGCGAAUUGAAUUCGUACUGAAUCUUAAAUAAAUCGGUUCCAAAUAUUCUAAUAUCCUUUAAUUCAUUCCCUUUAAUUCGUUACUGUAUAAAACUAAAUUAAUUAUUAAAGGAUUGAGUGGAUUCAUUUAAAUUCGUUUACAAUCUAAUCAAGUAGGUUAUUAGGUAAUUUAUUUUAAUGAUAGCAAUGGAUUGGAUCUAACCCAAGAUCCAUGUGAUCCAAAUCCAAUCGAAUAAGAUUUGGAUUGGAUUUGGAUAUCAAUGUACAGAUCUAAGACGGAUCUGAAGCAGGUCUAGAUACGUCUUAAUAUUUAAAUCCAUAUCCAUAUCCACCCAUUUUUUUAUUUUAUUUUAUUUUAAAAAUUUCUUAACAAUUGUGUAGUUAUAAAUGACAAUAAAUUUUAUUUAUAACAUGUUAGUGGUAUUUAUCAUGUAUUUAAAAAUCUUAAAACUUAAAGGUUAUUUUUAUAAAUUUAAAAGGUUGGCCAGCCCCAAAGUAUGUACUUGCAAUAUUCAAAUUGCAAGCCAAGCACUAACUUCUGGCGAUGUAUUUUAUUAUAUUGGCCAAAUAUUUUUUAAGGAAUAUAGUUAUUCAUAUAUUUGUCAAAUAUGGUUAUAAUAAAAAUAAUAAAGUACUGAAUAUAAAUCAUAUUUAAUUUAUAUGUCAUUAUCUAAUUUUGUAGGAAUGAUGGUGGGUGUGCCGCAGAUAUUAGAAUGAUGAACGAGAUAGUAGAAUAUUAGAUUGAUCUUAAUCCUGUAAUUACUUUUAAAUAAUGUUUUAUUAUCUUUCUUAUUUACUUGUUUUGGUGUAAAAGUAUAAGCUACAAUAUACAUUAUAUUUUUUAGAUAAAUUAUAUAAUUUAAUUGUUACUAAUACAUUUUAGUCUUUAUUUUUUACUCUAAAAAAUUAUUGCUCUUUUAUUGUUGAGUUUUAGAAUUCAUGACGAAUUUAGAGCAGAUUUGAAUUUGAAUUUGAAUUUUUUUUUUCAGGUUUGGAGCAUAUAUAUAUAUAUAUAUAUAUCUUUUUUGGAUCUGGAUAUGGAGCGAAAAACAUGGAUUCAUGACGGUUCUGGAGCAGAUACGAAUCUUGAUUUUUAUUAUAGAUAUGGAUCUAGAUCUCGAUGAUAGUAUAUCCAACUCAUAUCUGUCACAUUGUCAUCCCUAACCCAUUUAUUUUUCAUGUCGGGUUGGGGUCUCAAUAUGUUGACAUGAUUCUUAAAUGGAUCGUGUUUGGGUCGACCUAAAUUUGACACGACACAAACACGACAUGAUGACUCGUUUUGCCAACUGUAGUACUAAUAUAAUAAUAGUUAUAUAUAUAUAUAUAUAUAUAUAUAUAUAUAUAGGUUUACUCCCUUCUCCCAUCCAUUUGUCUUUAUUUUUUGAAUGAUAAAUAAAUUAAAGUUUAUAAUAAUUUGGAAAAAAAUUAAAAAAAUUAAUUUAUUAGAGAUAAACUAAAAUUAACCCUUUUAAAAUAGAUUGGGUGGUAGGUUACAGUGCACAUGUUUGGUCAGGAUGAAUCGAAGUGGAGGGCAAACCCAAAUUGAUUAGGCUUAAUGUAUGUAGGUAAUCGGAAUCGUGAUUGAACUGUUGAAUCCAAGGCUAAUCUAAUAUAGUCUUAGACAUUGCCACAUUGGACUGUUCACACAUGGAAGGUUUGGAUUUGGAUUAAACAAUGUCAUGUGUAACGAAUGAGUAUGAACCGGAGACUUUCUCCAGCUGGACACGUACCGUGAUGCAUACACAUGCACUUGUCGGAGCCAUGCAAACGUGUUUAGAAAAUGUUUUCAUCGUGAUUUUAACUUGAUUUAGCUCUAUCCUCCAGCCAGCGGCCGACCGAUUAAAGAUUUUCUCCUUAUUUAUUUAUGUUUUUGAGUUUUUAAAAAUUCUGAGUCGUAUUAAUGUACCAAUAGAAUUUUUUUUUCUUUAUUUAUUAACCAAAAAAUUUAAAUCGGUAACUGAUAGCCUAGAUUAUAUAUAUAUAUAUCAUAAUAAAAAAUGGCUGGGGCUGGGGCUGGGGCUGGGACUGGGUGGGAACAGAGAAGAUGGAGUCUUCAAGGAACGUAUGCUCGUGUCACAGGUGAUGUCAAAGGACUCGGGUACUUCUUCUCAGUAGUUCUUCUCUCUCUCUCUUUCUUUGUGUGUGUGUGUCUCUCUCUCUCUAUACAUAUAUAUGUCCAAAGGACUCGGGCACUUGGCAGAGCUAUGGCUGCCACAUUCCGUACAUGCUAGCUCUACGAAUGAAACAGAGCUUAACAAAUGCAUGUGCAAAUGGGAAACACACACACACACACACACACACACAUAUACAUGUUUUAAUUCCUUUGAUUUAAUUACGUUCAAUAUAAUUAAUCAUUAAUAUUUUAUAUUAAUUGCUACCUGCAGGCAUGCUGUAGUGGAGGAAUUGGCAGCGCUAGGCGCCAGUCUGCGACAUCUCAUCUUGAGCAGAACGGGAGAAGCUAAUCAACAAAGUCUCUUCUAUGUUCAAUGGGAAGCUUAACAUUCUCGUAUGUUUCAAAAUCUGUAUAUAGCCGUUAAUUGAGUUAAAAUCCCUGAGAUUAAUUAAUUUUCGAUAUUAUAUUAUUCAAAUUCGUAUGUACAUAUAUAGAUAUUAAUUAUUUGAUUUACAUACUGAACUGUGCGCUAUAUAGCUAAAUAACGUGGAAGCAAGUGUUGCAAAGCCAACAUUAGAGUACAAUGCUGAAGAUUUUUCAUUAGUAAUGACAACCAAUUUCGAGUCUGCUUUCCACUUGUGUCAGCUUGCACAUCCUCUUCUAAAAGCUUCUGGUGCAGCUAGUAUUAUACUCGUGUCUUCGGGGCUAGGCGUGGUCUUAGCAAAUGUUGGAACUGUAUAUUCAGCUACUAAAGGUAAGUUACAUAUAAAUAACAGUUGAAAUCAAGCAUAUCUCUGUUUGUACAUUUUAAUGGAAAGUACUGAUGAUGAAUUGCCUGAUUAUUAUAUUCAUUUGCAGGAGCCGUGAAACAGCUUGGAAAAAAUCUGGCAUGUGAGUGGCAGGGGAUAAUAUCGGGACUAAUGCUGUGGCUUCUUGGGUUAUCAGAAUUCCCAUCGUUGAACCUGUAACAACUACAUAUUGUUUGAUUACAUUAUAUUAUGUUCAAACCUGUUUUAAAUACGAUUUUUGAAUUAGGCUUAUUCCGCCAGUUUUGUCCAUUUCCGACUCUAAAAGUCUCAAUUCAGGCUUCCCAUUAGGGCAUGGUUUUAAUAUUAUUGUCAAUUCUUAAUAAGAAACUAGAUUGUUUACUAUAAUGUUUUGGCCCCUUAUUGCUUGCAGUAUCUGGGAAACAGGGAAUUUUUGGACGAAGUCUAAGUCUCGAACCCCAAUUGGACGCCCCAGGGAGACAAAGGAGGUUUCUUCUUUGAUAGCGUUUCCGUGCAUGCCAGCAGCCUCUUACAUAACCGGUCAGACUAUUUGUGUUCGCGGAGGAUUUACAGUGAAUGGCUUUUUCCUCCCAAGCACCUGAUCGCGAUCACUUACAAGAAGCUAGCUCAAGUUGUUAUAGAACGAUGAAGUCCCCUUUGCGGUGGUAAAAUUUUAUCUCUAGCUAAGUGCUCUCUAGUUCAAUAAAAUCUUGACUAGUUUAGCCACGAUAAUAUAAAUUCAUUGCUUCUUUUUGCAUUUGGUUAUUCAAUUCUAUUUUACAGGUUUCAUUUUUUAUUAGCUCCUAUAUUUAAGAGGUUGUUCCCAGUUUUUGUAAUUACCCUAUACAAAAUUAAUGGAAUUCCCAAUCACAUGCGAAAUGAAUCCAAGCAUUAAGUGAUUACAAAAUUUUUUGACAGAUUCGAUGAUGAAGUUAAAUCAGUAAUCACACUGAUAUAAGUAAAAUAAAGCAAAAUCGUAGUUACUCACUAGAAAUUUCUCAUAAGGGGAGGUUCUUUGGAGUUCGAGACGUCACUGCUUCUGAGAAUUUCUCAUCAGCGAAAUACUGGAAAUUAACAAGAAAAAACUAAGAUUAAUAACAUAGUAUUCUCAUCUCACAUAAGACUUUCCCAGAUAAAUUAAAGAUCAUUUCUUAUUAAUACACUAAAUACAAAAACCUGGUUGAAUUAUUCUUACUGCUUCAUUUAGGGAAGUUUUGACAAACCAAUGGGCGACUGAAUUAGCUCUAAUGCUGUCUCCAGCCCAUUCACAUGUAAGCUUCUUUGGAAGUUGGUUCAUGGCUCCUGCAAACAAAAUACACAAACCUGUAUAUGUCUCUACAAUCUCUUAAAUCCGUUUCUGUGGUAUGUUAUUAAGUUAAUUAAUAUAUAUAUAAUUACCUUUAUUAACUGCAUACAGAGGUGCUCCACUUAUUGAUAUUGUUGGGAAAUUGAGCUUCCUCCCAAGAUCAAUCUAAGUAAUUUAUCAAACAACAAAUUAACAGAAAAAAUUAAAUAGAAAAUAAUAUCAAUCCUACAACAUAAGAUUUACGUGGAAAACUUCAAAUCCGAAAAAAAACCACAACCGUUAUCAAAAAGACAACUAGAGAAAAAUAUUUACUAUGUGAAAAAUUAUUACAAUUACACUCUUAGAAAUAAUUUCUCUCACCCAAACCCCAGAUACACCCAAAAUACUAAAACUUCCUAAUACUCACUUAAUGCUUAACUUGCAUUAGAUUUCACAGCUCUAUAGAAUUUUGAAUGCUUCUCUCUAGGAUGAUUAAAAUGAAGGAAGAAAAAAAGGUAUACAAAUAUUUUUUUAAUGAUUUGUCACAUCCUACAUAUACUUUACAAUUUCGAGUCAAUUAAUUAGAAUAUUUUUGAAUUCAUACAUUUAUAUCACAGUCUAUGAUCUAUAGAAAAUAGCUCCAUAACCAUCUAUUUUUCUUUUGUUGAAUAUAAAUUGUGAAAUUCAUUAAUACUAAUUCAUUGUAGCAAUAUGUAUUUUGUUACAGGAAGCAGUUAAGUUAAAAUGGAUUGAUCUUCAUCACUCUCGAGACUGGGCGAAAAUCCCUUAUUCCUCAGAAUUGCCAAACCUUGAGAGAAUAGAACUUUUGAACCGUAGAAAGUUGCCUUACGUUGUCCCAACCAUUCAUAAUUUUAAUCAUCUUAGCAGCUUGUGUCUCGAAGGUUGCAAGAGUCCUAAGCACUUUCCAGGUAACACCCAUUUUAGAUCUCCAAUUGCAGUUAAUUUCUCCUUGUAUUUUGAUCUUACAGAGUUUCCACAAAUCACCGAAAAUGUAAGACCUUUACGUGGGACCCCAAUAGAAGAAAUUCGUGCAUCAGUUGAGUGCCUAAAUCUCGAGAAUUGCAAAAGGCUUAAAAGUAUUAGUAUUUCAAGUAAAAACAUUUGCAAAAGAAUUAUAAAACUGCAAUUAACUUAUUUAUAGGCAAAAAACUUGCCUAAUAGCCUUCAAGUUUGAUCAAAUUUGGUGGCUUACCCACCAAAUUUGAUCAAAUGAAUUUGGUCAUGUUCAACCAUGGCUGCUCCCAUGGUUCAAGAAUGGAGGCUAAAGCCUUUACUUUGACAGAUACCACACCACAAACUGAAGACAUGAAAACAAUAUUUCAUGCGCUCGAUGCUUUCAGAAGAGUGUGUGCAAUGUGGGACGAGCUGACUCAAAAUUUUGUAGCUAUGAUAAAUGACAAGUCUUCAGCUGUGUAACCUACUGUAGUAGCCCUUCGCAUUUGUCCCAACAUUGUUUAUCUACAGUCAUGCACAUGGACAUGGACUAACUUAAUAUAUUAUAAAAAAAAAUGUAUAGAUCAUACAUCUAGUAAUUAAUUAAGUGAUCACAUAAAAGGAUGUUCAGUUUGCCAAUGAAAAGAGAGGAGACAUGUUUCAUUAGAUUCUUUCAUUGUUCUUGUUUUGAAACAUCGCAUACAGAAUAUAAAUUUUAAUAUAUAAAAAAUUAUAUUUUUUGAUCUAUUAAAAUAUUGAAAUCUGUAUUUUUUGUCUGCUUUUUGCUACAAAAUUAUUAUUAUUAUUAUUAGCUAGCUCAGCUAGGCAGCGAUAAUAAAGAAAGUACCCGAGUCCUCUGGAUCCACCGAUAACAAGCGUGGUCAGCCGUCGAGCCUCCAUCUGUCAUGGCCCGCCGUGCCAUUCUAUUUGCCUGAUCCUCUUUCCGCUCUGGUUAAUGCUCUAUUUGCUUCCACGUUCUGGACUUAGCUAACAAUUCCAUCAGGAAGUCUUGGAUAUUAGUCAACCGUGUCCCGUACAAUUACAAUUAAUACGUGGCAGAAAAGAAUUCGCAGCACUCAAAGUUAAAGUGAUCUCUAGUUCAAUAAAAUCUUGACAAGUUUAGCCAUGAUAACAAAUUCAUUGCUUCUUUUUCCAUUUCGUUAUUCAAUUCUGUUUUACAGGUAUCAGCUUUGAUUAGCUCCUAUAUUUCAGAGAUUGUUCCCAGUUUUUUGUAAUUAGCCUAUACAAAAUUAAUGGAAUUUCCAAUCACAUGCGAAACGAAUACAAGCAUUAAGUGAUUACAAUUUUUUUUGAUAGAUUCGAUUAUGAAAUUAAAUCACAGUGAUUAUAAAGAACCAAUGCCAAAACAGAGGCAACUAUCUCAUAUAAAAGUAAAAUAAAGCAAAAUUGUAGUUAAUCACUAGAAAUUUAUGGUAAGAGGAGUGUUGAUGCUAAAAUCUGGUCUGCUGAUGAUGGCAACCGAAUUAUCUCGUCAACACUUGAAUUUGUUUUGAUGGGAAACUGUAGCUCGCUGCUCUGAUAGAAUCAAAAUCACGACGAUACUUCCUUUAUCCGUUGAUACCUUUUUUAAUAUGCAACAACAGAAAACUGUCAGGGGCGCUAGAUUUUUACCGGUGAAAACCCUUCGAUGUUCAAGUCAGCAAUUGAGUUUUUUACUAGAAAAAAUGAUAAUCUAAAAAACUCGAGAUUUCUUAAUUUUUUUUUAAUCUCAAACUUCUUCUUCUCUAUGAAAAAGGAAGAGUCCAUUUUUUUGGAUCUCACCGGGUUCUUAUAGACAACCGUGAGUACUGCUUGUCCUUUAAUAUACAGCCGUUACCAAAUUGAAUGCACCACAUGAAUUAAGAAUUAAUGCAUCCGUUUCUUUAUAAUUAUUGAGCUGUCGUUAUUACGCCGGUCGCACUUAGACGUUACGGACGAACUUCCAAGUGGAGUUCAACAGUUCGAGUAUUUAACCAAAGGCUCAAGAUCGACCAACCCGAUUCUAGUAUGCUCGUAGGGUAUUGGUCGUGCUUGCACAUUCAACCAACUAAAUCUCUCCUCGAUGUUUCACAACAUUGGAAUCUAGUCACUAUGUCUUAUAUCCCAAACAGGGAGGUUCUUUGGGUGUUCGAGACGUCACUGAACAACGGUAUUAUGUAAUUAAAAAAAAAAAGUGAAGAUUGAUAUAAUAAUGACACUUAGGAGUCAGCUCAAAGACUCAUCAACUUUGAGAGUGUUUGGGUUUCAAAACAUUACUACUAUUUUCAGUUACAUAAAGUCCUCUAAUUAGUUGAACCUCCUCCUCAUUCCGUGAAAUGGACCCAAAUUGAAUAACGUUAAAUAUUAACUUGAAGACAGAAUCAAAAUCAAAUAUGGCUAGUAAGUUGAUGCCUAUCUCUUCAGAUACAUGGAGAAUUCGGAUUUAGUCAUUCAUCGUGCACGUUAAUUUAUUUUCAUUUUUAUCGUCACACCAACUUUUGCUUUUGGAUGCAUUUGGAUGGGAAGUUUGGGAUAGAAUUGUAGUGCCUUCACAAGCCUAUGUUUUAUACGACAAAAAAAUAUGUUGAGUAAUGAAGAGUACCAGCUCGGCCAUGUCCUCAUCUCUCACCCUGAGGCGAAUCUCCUCAGCUGAAUGGCACGAGCAGAGUCCUGGUAAAACAUCAUGUAUGGGCAUGUGCCAACUAGAAACGAGCACCGACCAGAGAUAUGUACCGACCAGAUACUCAUCACCCAAAGAAAGAGGACACGAUCUCACGAAAUCGCGACAAUUUCGCCAUGCCCCGAACCGCUGGGGAGAACAUGACAUCUCACGUUUACCCACGAUUCGGUGGUUGGAGACCCAUGAGGGUCUAUCACCACCCGAAAAUGGGGGGCAUGAAGAAUACUCAGAAAACGUGGGAUGACGGCUAUAAGAAGCUAAGGGACCGAUGAAGAAGGGGACACAAAAAUUGAGAAAAAAAGGGAAACUGUGCCAAAUUAUUAUCAGAAAUUCUUAUAUCCAAAUCCUUGAGAUAUUUCGUAUUGAAAAUAUUGCAACUAAUAUGUACAACACAAAUCAUACAAUUUUUCCGUAAACAUCUUGUGCUAAUUUAAGCAUCGGAGGGUUUACGCCGGUAAAACUACUGGCGACUCUGAUAUGUUUCUGUGAACGCAGGAUUAGAAAGAAGAAAAAGGGUGAUUCCAACCCUAGGAGCUCGAACAAUUGCUGAAGCAAAGAGAGGGCGACAUCUUCUCCAUUGACCAUACAAGCGUUGGUGGAACGAUCUGGUCGGGCAAAGGGCGAUCACAUUUCAGCAUCAAUAUUUUGGCGCCGUCUGUGGAGAGCUGGAUAAAAAGCUACCACCAAGUUAGUAGUCAUUAGAGGAGCAGCGAACAAUCGGUUAUGGAUGUGACAAGGAAGGAUGUCCUAGGGGGUGACAAUGAAACUGGUGAAACGAUUACUCUCCGAGAGAUCGCAAAUGAGGCUAGAGAGAGGAUGAUACAAGAGCGGAUGGAACGGAUGGAGAAGCAAAUGGAGACUCUCACAGCUAUACUGCAUGAGCUGAGGGAUGAGCGGAGAAGGGAUUGUGAAACUACCGCGGUGAGAGAUAAAGCCAUUGCAGAACCCAGCCUUCAGAGGCAUAGAAUCGAGGAGAUUCCUCCGUUGGGAGGGCAACCCUAUGGGGUGCAUCCACAUAGAAGUGCAGGUCGGAUCCCAGGAGAGUGCGUGGAUGAAAGGAGAGACCAAUCUCGCUCUGGGCGAGUUAUGAGAGUUGAUAGCCGAGGAGUAAAUGUUGAGGAAACCUUCGCACCUCACCUUUCAAUUCUAAAGCGCGGUCUGAAUCGCGUGCAGCUACUUGGUCUUGCUCCUGCUCAGCGUUAUGCAGUCGCUGUCUGAGCAGGAGCAAGACCAAGUAGCUGCACGCGAUUCAGACCGCGCUUUAGAAUUGGAAGGUGAGGUGCGAAGGUUGGCGCAAGUGAUGAAUGAGAUCCAGGGCAAGAGAAAGCCUCCGAGCUGGAGGAUAAUACUGGAUGAAGAAUCUCUGCUAUCAGCCGAGAUCAUGGGUACGGUGAUCCCAAGAGAUUUCCGCUUUCCUGACCUCAAAUACUCCGGGAGAAGCGACCCGUUGGUGCAUAUUGAGCGUUUUAAUGACAUGACGGGUGUGCAGGGGUUAACACACAGCUCAUAGGGUGUUCCUAUUGACACUAGAGGGACGAGCCCGAGAGUGGUACCGUAAGCUACCACGUGGAAGUAUAAGGAGAUACGAGCAGAUGUGCCAGGAGUUGGCCGAGCAGUUCCGCGGAGCAAUAGCCCUAGAGAACGAUAUGAUGGAAUUGAUGAGGAUGAAGCAAGAGGAACACAAAUCCCUUCGCGAUUUUGUGAAGAGAUAUCAUCGGGCUGUGCUUGAUUUGGGGACUUUUAAUCACCCGCAGGCAUUAAGAGGGUUAAAAGAGGUGUGAUGAUAUGUCGAUUGUGGUACAACUUGAGAAACCCCAUCAUUCAGAAUUAUUCAGCGGGGUAUGAGCAGGCGAUGAGAGAUAUAGAAAUUGAAGAGGAGAAAACGGUGAGGAUAAAGAGUGAACAACUGGAGGAGCUGAGGCGAAAGGAGAAGAGAACACUGAGUGGAAGCGUGUCGGGAAAGCGAACUGGGGAAUCAUCAAUAAUGGAGGAAGCAUCUGCUUGGUCCCGCCCUUAUACAAUAGCUCAAAGACCACAACAGUUCCAACACAGCCGAACUUAGCCCCAGCGUCCCCCAUUCCCGGAACGGUAGUGGGAAUUCCGGCAGAUGGCUGCCCAUCCAUAUCACAAUACCUCAAGAGUAGUGAAUGCGGUUAACCCCAGAACUGGCAGACCAAGCCAGCCACCCCCAGUCCCAGCUCGGGACGAGUUUCACGACAGCCGAGCAGUCCAACUGAUUGACCAUAGCUUGGCGUAUAAACAGUACACCCAGUUGAAAAUUUCUAUGGAGGAGUUGUAUGAGAGGAUCAAGGGACGAGGCCUGCUAUAUCCUCCCAUCCCUGUAACUAAACCAGCUCACAAACGGGAUAAAAGAAGAUUCUGUAAAUUCCACGAUACUCAUGGUCACACUAUCAGCCAGUGUCGUGAUCUGAAAAAUCAGGUGGAGGAUUUGGUGAGAAACUGUUACUUGGAUGAGUAUGUAGAUGGGACGUUCCCUAUCAUUGAAUCAUAAUAUACGCUGGGGGAUGGAGUCGAGAGAGAUCUGGAGCGUGAACAGCCAACUAUCCGGGUGAUAGCAGAAGGGCCGACAUUGGCUGGAGAUUCGAACAGGGCACGGAAGAAUUAUGGGAGAUAUGCUCUGACCAGCAAAGAGAUGCUUUUCAAUUUGCCAAUAGUCAAGAGGGCGAAAGUGAGGCAAGUUCCCAUUAUGUGGACAGAUGAUGAUGAAGAGGGUGUUUUAUACCCUCAUGAGGAUGCACUAGUGAUUAAGGCGAUGGUGGCGGGUAAAGAAUUUCGGCGAAUACUGGUGGAUACGGGCAGCUCGGUCGACAUACUGUUUAAGUCGGCCCUAGAUGAUAUGGGAAUUGCGGACUUGAAAUUGGAACGGACGAACACAUCCUUGAAAUGAUUUGGAGGAGGACGGUUGACCUCCAUGGGGAUCGUCGAGCUGCCGAUUACUGUAGGAUCGAAGCCGUUUGAAAAAAUAGUGAUGCUGGACUUUGUAGUGGUGGAAGAGAAAAGCUCUUACCAGAUAAUACUGGGACGAUCUUUCAUGAGGGUAAGCCAAUGUGUUAUAUCCAUGCAUUAUCUAGCGUUGAAAUACAGAGUGAACGGGGUUGUGGGCGUAGUAAAAUGAGACCAGAGAAUGGUGAUGAGUUGUUAUGUUAUAGCCGCCAAUGAAACAUUACAAGUUACCACUCUAGAUAACCGAGGAGACUCUAAAAAAGGUCGCCAGGAACCAGCGGAGAAAUUGGAAGAGGUUUUGGUGAACAAGAAUGACCUGAGCAAAGUGAUAAGGAUUGGGUCGGGAUUGGGCGAGGCAAUAAAAGGCGAGCUGGUAAAGUGCCUACAGUCCCAUGUAAAUAUAUUUGUUUGGUCGCAUGAGGACAUGCCAUGAAUUAAUCCCGGGGUAGCUUGCCACAAGUUGGCAAUUAGGAAAAGUGUAAGACCGGUGAGGCAGAAAAUGAGAUGCUUUAACCAGGAAAGGUACGAGGCCAUAAAUGCUGAAGUAGAGAAGCUGUUGCGAGCAGGAUUCAUAAGGGAGGCUAAAUACCCGGAGUUGAUUUUCAAUGUGGUGUUGGUAAAGAAGGUCAAUGGGAAAUGGAGAAUGUGUGUAGAUUUCACAGACCUUAACAAAGCCUGCCCAAAUGAUGGCUUUUCCCUACCUAAAAUAAAUCAAUUGGUUGACUCAACGGCGUGCCACAGUCUGCUUAGAUUCAUGGAUGCCUUUUCGGGAUACAACCAGAUACCCAUGGACAAGUAGGAUGAGGAGAGUACCACGUUUAUAACUAACAUGGGCUUGUUUUGCUACAGAGUGAUGCUCUUUAGCCUGAAAAAUGCAGGGGCUACCUAUCAAAGGUUGGUGAAUAAAAUUUUCAAGCCAUUGAUUGGUCACACUAUGGAAGUAUACGUGGAUGAUAUGAUCACGAAGUCUAGAGAGCCAAUAGACCAUGUGAAGCACUUGGAAGAGACCUUCGAAUUGUUGAGGAAGUACCAAAUGAAGCUGAAUCUGGAGAAGUGUGCAUUUGGAGUUAGCUCGGGUAAAUUCUUGGGGUUCCUAGUGAGCCACCGAGGGAUAGAGGCCAACCCAGAAAAAAUACGGGUGGUAAUAGAAAUGAAGUCCCCCGAACAAUUAAGGAGGUGCAGAGCUUUACAGGGAAGUUGGCGGCAUUGAACCGGUUCAUCUCGCGGGCCACGGAUAAGUGUCACCAUUUCUUCCAAACCAUAAAGAAAAUGGAGUGGACUGCAGAAUGUGAGGAGGCAUUUGGGCAGCUGAAGGAAUAUCUUGCCAGUGCCCCAUUAAUAUCGACUCCGAGAGAGGGUGACGAGUUGUAUUUAUAUUUAGUUGUCUCUAAAUGGGCUACUAGCUCGGUAUUUGUCAGAGAAUGUGAGGGAAAGCAACACCCUGUGUACUACACUAGCAAGGCCCUAAUGGACGCAAAAACUAGAUAUCCACUGAUGGAGAAAUGGGCGCUGGCUUUAAUAACGGCAGCACGCAAGCUCAGACCAUAUUUUCAGGCCCACCCGAUAAUAGUGAUGACCGACCAACCUAUUCGGCAAACGCUCCUAAAACCAGAUGCAUCUGGUCGGUUAGUAAAAUGGUCUAUAGAGCUGAGUGAAUUCGACCUAUCUUACAGACCUCGAGGAGCAAUCAAAGCCCAAGCCUUGGCUGAUUUUAUGGUUGACCGUAUGGAACCAGGGGAAGGAGUUCAGAAGGAACAACCGGUUGAACCGGAGAAACCAGAAGGGGUGUGGCUGGUAAUGGUUGAUGGGUCACGUAGUGAACAAGGGUCCGGAGCAGGAGUAGUAAUACGAAGCCCAGAAGGGGCCGAUGUGUCCUAUGCAGUGAAGUUCGAAUUCCAGCUCACGAAUAAUCAAGCAGAAUAUGAAGCCUUCAUCACCGGGCUUGGGCUGGCACACGCAUUAUGAGCAGAAAUGGUAGAAAUCCGAGCAGACUCUCAGUUAGUCUGUAAUCAGCUCAAUGAACAAUUCCAAGCAAGGGAAGAAAAGAUGGAGCUUUAUUUGAAGAAGGCAAAACAGAUGAUUAGGCUCUUCCAAGAGGUAGAAAUAAAGCAGAUAUCCCGAACAGAGAAUUACCGAGCAGAUAUGUUGGCCAGAAUGGCCGCAAUUGCGGAUCCGAAGUUACUCAAGUCGGUCCCAUUGGAAGUAAAGACCUCGCCAAGCUUAGAGAAGGAGGUAGAAUUAAUGCGGGUGAGCACCGAAAGAUCCUGGAUGGACCCAAUUCUCUCAUACAUCCGCGAUGGCAUUUUACCAGAGGACAUGAAGCAAGCAAGGAAGUUGAAAUUUCGUGCAGCAAGGUAUACGCUACUCGAUGGGGUACUCUACCGUCGAGGAUUCACUUUGCCCCUCUUGAGAUGUUUGGAUGACGAGGAAGCAAAUUAUGUGCCGAGGGAAAUUCAUGAAGGAAUAUGCGGCAACCACUCAGGGGCAAGGACUUUGGCCUUCAAGGCACUUCAACAAGGGUAUUUUUGGCCGACUAUGUACCACGAUGCGAAGGGGAUGGCAAAAAAUUGUAGAGUCUGCCAAAGUUUCUCGGAUGUUCCUGCUCAGCCCCCAGAAAGGCUAACCGCUAUGUCAUCUCCAUGGCCUUUUGCCCAGUGGGGGAUCGACCUGAUUGGCCCAUUACCCAAAGGCCAAGGAGCCGCAACACAUGCAAUUGUGGCUAUAGAUUACUUCACUAAAUGGGUAGAAGUAGAAGCCUUCAGUCAAAUCACGGAGAGGAAGACAACUGAUUUUAUCUAGAAGAAUAUCAUCUGCAGAUAAGGAAUCCCCUAUGCCAUCAUAACGGACAAUGGGAGGCAAUUUGACAACCACAAUUUCAGAGAAUUUUGCCAAAACUUGGGUGUAGAUUUAAAGUUUUGUACAUCGGCACACCCCCAGGCAAACGGGCAGGUAGAAGCAGCCAACAAAGUUAUAAAGAAGCUCCUGAAAACCAUGCCGGGAGAGAAGAAAUGAGCUUGAGUCGACGAGCUACCAGGAGUGUUAUGGGCUUACCGAACAACCCACAAAACUGCCACAGGAGAAACCCUAUUUGCCCUAGCUUUCGGUCAUGAGGCGGUAAUCCCAUCAAAAAUUGGGGUGGGAACGCAUCAGACAGAAUAUUUCGACGAGAAACAGAAUGAUGAGCAGAUUUGUAUGAGCCUAGACCUAUUGGAGGAAAAAAGAGAAGGGGUCUCGUAGAAAAUGACCCAAUGCCAAUAAAAAAUCAUACGUUAUUACAACAAGAACGUACGCAUGAGGCAGUUCCGAGCAGGCGAUUGGGUACUUAGAAAAGUGAACCAGAACACAAGAGAGCCUAAUCAUGGAGUUCUCGGCCCGAAGUGGGAGGACCCGUACAGGGUAGUACGAACAACUGGCCCAGGAGCUUACAAGCUGACCUACCCAGAUGGACGAGAUGUAAAGAGGUCGUGGAACGCUGAGCACUUGAAGAAAUAUUUCCAAUAAGCGAAGCGUUUUACCAAGUUUUAUUCUGCCAAGCUAUUUCUGUUAAAUGCAUGAUGAAUUGUAGCACACGCAUGUAUUUCACCUCUUGUAAUCCAUGAAAAGUUUAAUAAAGAUGAACUCAACACAAAAUUCCCUUGUUAGAUGAAUUUUGUUAAGGCAAGCAAGUGUUUAUUCCUACUCGGUCGUCUAAAUGACUAGCAAGCAAAGUCUACUAAAAUUAUUAAGGCAAACAAGUGCUUAUUCCUGCUCGGUCAUCUAAAGGACCAGCAGGCAAAGUUUAUUAAAUUUGUUAAGGCAAGCAAGUGUCUAUUCCUGCUCAGUCGUCUAAAGGACCAGCAAGCAAAGUCUACUAAAAUUAUUAAGGCAAACAAGUGCCUAUUCCUGCUCGGUCGUCUAAAAGACCAGCAGACAAAGUCUACUAAAUUUAUUAAGGCAAGCAAAUGCCUAUUCCUGCUCGGUCGCCUAAAGGACCAGCAGGCAAAUUCUAUAAAAUUUUACUAAGGCAAACAUGUGCAUAUUCUUGCUCGGUCGCCUAAAGAACCAGCAGACAAAUUAUAUAAAAUUUUACUAAGGCAAACAUGUGCAUGUUUCUGCUCGGUCGCCUAAAGAACCAGCAGGCAAAUUCUACAAAAUUUUACUAAGGCAAACAUGUACCUAUUCCUGCUCGGUCGCCUAAAUGACCAGCAGGCAAAUUCUACAAAAUUUUACUAAGGCAAAUAUAUGUCAACUCCUGCUCGGUCGUUUGAAGGACCAGCAGGCAAAAUUCUAUGAAAUCGUUAAGGUAAGAAAUUGUCUAUUUCUCCUCGAUCACUCAAAGACAAGCAGACAUAUUUUUCAAGGUAAUUUGCAGAAACAACCAAAAGCAUAACUAUGGCAAGAAAGCAACUAGAAAUCAUCAAAGGUUUAUAACCACUCAAACGUUUGCAAACAAACAAAAAUCCAGAAUUUACAUAGAAAACAAGGUUAGGGAUUGUGAGGCUCAGCAGCCUCAGUAGAAGGAGGAUCAGCAAUCUCGGAAGAAGAAUGACCAGCAACUUCUGGAGGAACAGGUGUUGACCCCUGACCUGUUCCCAAAGCAUGAUCCCCUGCUCCCCACCUGAAGGAGCAUCGACCUAGUCCUGGUCCCCCUGGUCCUUAUCCCCCUAAUCUGACUCGGCCAUAUACUUCUGCACUCUCGCCUCCAGCUUGCUCAUGUUAAGCUCUAGAUAUUCUUCCUUAAGCACAAACAUGAUGCACUUGUAGCAAAAUGCAAGCCCAGAGUUAUUCUCUGCAUCCAGCCAGUCGUCCACCUCAGCAGAUUUGCCCUUCAGCUCGGCUACCUGCUCGUUCAAGGACUUGAUUUGCUCCUCGUAGGCCGUCUUCAAAGUAUCUCGCUCACUUUGUGCAGCCUGGAGAUCAGACUUCAAGUCACCCAACUCGCUCUCGAGCUUGGAAGAGUUGGACUCAGCAAUGGUCACUUUCUCCUCCAGGUCCAUGAUCUGCUUAUGCAGAUCGAGCAGCUUCUCCCUCAAGCGAUCAGCGAACUCAGCCUUUUUCUUCAAGUCUUGGUUGUCCGCUUGAAGCCUCCUCUCAUGGCGCGUGGACUUGUUCUUGUAGCAAGAAACCAAAGUAGUCAGCUUAAAAGAGACCCUCUUAAUAGAACCAAUCAAUUCGCUAAGAUUCAUGCUCUCAAUAUCCUUGAUCAUUUUGGGUCCCACUGACUUGCCAUAGUCCCUUUGGUAUGGGGUCAAAUAGUUACCAUGAUCCCGAGGUGGAAGAGGAGAGGAUCGAUCUCCAGAUUGAGCGCUGACCUCAGGACUCUUGUCGCAAACCUUCUCCCCGCUAUUCUUUCGAGGUGGAGGAGGGGGCAGAGCAGGAGCAGGAGCCUUAGAAGAACUAACAUUGACUUUCUUCAAGGGAGGGGGGGAUUGCUGGAGCUACCUGACCCCCAAGCACGUUUCUUUGACAUAGGCGCGACCUAAUAAGAUUUGUUGACGAUAGGAGAUCUUGACAGGUAGACGCAUUCACUAGAGUAAUUUCCACCUUGAGCAGCGGAUCGUCAUCAAGUUUCUUGAUUAGGCCCCACGACUCUGAAAGAAUAAACAAGGUUAAAGAACUAAAUAAGUGACGACCAGAGACGUAAAGUGUACAGAAAAAUAAACAACCUAGGGUGACAAAACGCGUUGGAAGGUGAAUAUCACCACCAAGCAAAUGGAUCGUUGGACACCAAUUUUCCUCAGUAAAGAAAAAUUUGUUCUUCCAGUUUUUACACGAGGAAGGAAAGUCGGUGAUAGGCUUCCUCUUCGCAGAGCUUGACAUAAAGUAGUACCAGCCUGCUUCCUUUGGACUGCUCCUCAGCUGAUACAAAUAUUUUACCUCCAUGAGGGAAGGCUCCCCGAGUCCACACAUUUCCCAUAGCACAUACAAGGCCGAAAGAACACUUCACCCGUUCGGGUGAAGCUGACCUGGAGCCAGAUGCAUGCCACCCAAUAUCCUGGCAAAAUAAGGUUGAAGGGGCAACCGAGCCCCUAACUUGAAGCUCUCCAGAUGCAUUGUCACAUACCCCUUAGGAGGCCGACUGGGGACAUCACCUUUCCCAGGGAUAACAAGGAGGACGUCAUCAGGGAUAUUAUAAAGAUUUCUUAGCUUGAGCAUGUCAGUGUGGGUGGUGGCACAAGUAAUAUAGUCAAUGGGGUAAGCAUCUGCCUCUAUCCUAUGACCGAGGUAUCUCUUCUUAGAGGGUCGGCUCGGCUCUGCUCGGAACUACUCUCCUCACCAUCACCCUCUUCAUCAGGGACCCCAGCCCCCUCAGAACCGUGAUUUUCACCAGAACCCGACGAUGGUCCACCACGGUUUCCCAUAGGUUUAAAAUCAAGGGAAGGAAAAAUGGUCUUGGGACGAGGGUACUCAGGGGUAUCCCUAUUAUAGAAGGGGCCUACACUGCGAGAAUGGUAUAGUGGAUCAGUGGGUCCUAAUAGGUUGUGGUACGAAUCCUCUACCUCUUCGUCACUCUCAUCUACAAUUAAUUUUCCUCUUCGGUUUGACAUAGCGAAAUCUGAAAAGGGAAAGCACAACAAAUCCAAGUAUAUUGGUACAAAAGGGACAAUACAGAACCCAAGCAACAACAACCAGAGAAGAAGUUAAAGGCGAUACCUGGAAUAGAUCGACACUGGUAGCGUUACCGUGACGGAGAAAGAGCCCAGCAAACAGAAGUCUCCGAUGCAGAAAGUACGAGUAAGGUCCAAAGAAGGAGUUGGCUUACGGCAGAAUGAUAGAUAACGAAACGCAAUGGCAGUUCCAAUUUAGGGAUUUAAGACGAAAGGGGGAACAGAGGCGUUUAAGUUAUGCGGAUGUCAGCUCAAUCGCCGCGUAUCAAGGACAUAUAAGCCGCCGUUUCAAAUUUCAAAUAUGAAAGGGCAAAAAGUGACACGUCACUGGCCAUUAAAAAUGCAUGAUGAGAUGUCAGCCCAGUUGUGUAUUGGAUACGCUCACAAAAGCCCAUACUCAGGCCAGAAACCCUCUAAACAGAAGAAAUUAUCUCGGGUCCGUCACGGUAAUCAAGACGGCAUGAUGAGUUGUCAGCCCAGCUACAUAUUAGACACGCUCACGAAGGCCCAUACUCGGACCGAGAACUCUUUAAACAAGAGACGUCACCUCGGGUCCAUCACAAUAACACAAGGACCAGAGGAAUGUUUCCCGAGGUUAGCCAGAUCCAAUUCUUAGUUUCUAAUCUCAACUCGUUUCACUCGCAAGACCAGAAACUAGGGGACUGGUGUUGAGUAAUGAAAAGUACCAGCUCGGCCAUGUCCUCAUCUCUCACCCUGAGGCAAAUCUCCUCAGCUGAAUGGCACAAGCAGAGUCCUGGUAAAACAUCAUGUACGGGCAUGUGCCAACUAGAAACGAGCACAGACCAUAGAUAUGUAUCGACUAGAUACUCAUCACCCAAAGAAAGAGGACACGAUCUCACGAAAUCGCGACAGUUUCGCCAUGCCCCGAACCGCUGGGGAGAACAUGACAUCCCACGUUUACCCACGAUUCGGUGGUUGGAGACCCAUGAGGGUCUAUCAUCACCCGAAAAUGGGGGGUAUGAAGAAUACUCAUAAAACGUGGGAUGACGGCUAUAAGAAGCCAAGAGAUCGAUGAAGAAGGGGACACAAAAAUUGAGAGAAAAGGGGAAACUCUGCCAAAUUAUUAUCAGAAAUUCUUAUAUCCAAAUCCUUGAGAUAUCUCGUAUUGAAAAUAUUGUAACUAAUAGGUACAACACAAAUCAUACAGUUUUUCCGUAAACAUCUUGUGCUAACUUAAGCAUCGGAGGGUUUACACCGGCAAAACUAUCGGCGUCUCUGAUCUGUUUAUGUGAACGCAUGAUUAGAAAGAAGAAAAAUGGUAAUUCCAAUCUCAAAAGCUCGAACAAUUGCUGAAGCAGGGAGAGGGUGACAUCUUCUCUAUUGACCAUACAAGCAUUGGUGGAAUAAUCUAAUCGAACAAAGGACGAUAAGAUUUCAGCAUCAACAAAAUAAUCAAAAGAAACGAACAAUUUUCAUUAGAAUAUAUAGUAAUCUUAAUAUCGCCUUGCUGGAAGGAUGCCCUUAAUUUCGCUGUUAUUGGAUUCUGUCAAAAGGAUUGGAUCCAAUAAAAUCUUGCAAUUUGGAUCACGGCAUGCAGAUCUCACCUUUGUUAGGAAAUUGGUGGGUGAAGCAGGACCGCAGUUAAAAUAAAAAUGGAAGAAAAAUAAAGAACAAACACAAAAGAGAAUACCAGAAAUUACGUGGUUCGGCUUUUAGCCUACGUCCACGGGCGAAGAUAGAAGGAAAAUAUUAUACUAGUGAAAAGGAGUUACAAGUAUUGUAGUAUUUUAGCUCACUACCCAAAAGCCUCAAUACACCCAAACUCUCAAAUCACUAAGCACACAAAAUUCUUUGCUCUUGCAAGAAUUACUUCUCACAACUCUCAACUCUCUCUACAAAAAUUGGAUGCAAAUGAAUUAGGAAGCUCUCCCUUUUAUAGCCAAAAAAUGGCUAUUAAAUUAAUAUAUAUAUAUUUCAAAUGUUGUUGCCAACUUCUUCUUUUUCUUUGGACGGCACCAAAACUUUUAACAUUUUCUUUGGUCGGCUUGUCAAAGCCAACUUGAAUUUGCCUUGUGGCCACCGGCUUUGACAUUUCUCCCACUUGGAGAUUUGAUUGAGAGUCAAUCAAUCUCCACACCAUCUUUUCUGCUUCGCCAUAAUCAUGUUGCCUACGUUUCUGCUAGGCCACAAGAAGAUCUACUCCAGACAAACUUAUCAGUAUUUAUCGGCUUGGUCAAAACAUCUGCUAGGUUCUCCUUGGUAUGGAUUUUCUGUAAAUCCACAUUUCCGUCUUCCACUACUUCUCGAACGAAGUGAUACUGAACUCCUAUGUGCUUUGUCCUGGAAUGAAAGGCUGGAUUCCUUGCAAUGUGCAAGGCACUCUGACUGUCACAAAACACAGGAAUUUUCUGUUGUUUGUGCCCGAGCUCCUCCAAUAACCAUUGUAUCCAAAUAGCUUCCUUGCAAACUUGUGUAGCUGCCAUGUACUCUGCUUCUGUUGUAGAUAAAGCCACAACGGUCUGCAGUUUCGAAACCCAGCUUACAGCUGCUCCCGCAAGUGUAAACACAUAACCAGUAGUGGAUUUUCUUUUAUCAAGAUCUCCUGCAAAAUCUGAAUCCACAUAGCCCCUAACAGUAAACUCUGAUCCUCCAUAACAUAAUGCAACAUCUGAGGUUCCGCUAAUGUAUCUCAGAAUCCUCUUCACAGCUAUCCAAUGUUCUCCACCAGGAUUCGCCAUGUAUUGACUAACUGCUCCCACUGUUUGUGCAAUGUCUGGUCUUGUACAUAUCAUAGCGAACAUCAAACUUCCCACUGCUGAUGCAUACGGUACUCGAGACAUCUCAUUCCUCUCUGCUUCAUUGCUAGGACACAUACUUGAGGAUAAUUUGAAAUUAACAAAAAGUGGGGUAGAAAUUGACUUACAAUCUUGUAUGUUGAAGCGCCGUAAUAUUUUCUUCAAGUAAUUCUUCUGUGAAAGCCAAAUCUUCCUGUUAUUUCUGUCUCGGUGAAUUUGCAUCCCUAGAAUCUUGUUUGCUGGUCCCAAGUCCUUCAUUUCAAACUCCCUAGCCAACUGUGCCUUCAAUUCUUGGACUCGAUCUUUGUUGGGGCCUGCUACCAACAUGUCAUCCACGUAUAAUAGCAAAAUGAUGAAAUCAUUAUCUUCAAACCUCUUGUAAUAUGCACAAUGGUCUGAACUGAGUCUGUUGUAUCCAAGGCUCAUGAUGAAGGAAUCAAAUCUCUUAUACCAACAUCUCGGCGCCUGUUUGAGACGGUAUAGAGAUUUGUUCAACCUGCAAACCAAGUUCUCCUUUCCUGUUUUUGCAAAAUCUUCUGGUUGGAGCAUAUAUAUUUCUUCUUCAAGUUCUCCAUGAAGAAAUGCAUUUUUCACAUCCAACUGCUCAAGAUGUAAGUCAAAUGUAGCACACAUCGUCAAGACAACUCUGACUGUUGUAAGUCGAACCACCGGAGAAAAUAUCUCGUUAAAGUCAAUACCUUAUUUCUGAGCAUAUCAUUUCACCACCAAUCUUGCACGAUACCGCUCCACUUGGUCAUUGCCAUCACGCUUGAUCUUGUAGACCUAUUUGUUUCCAAUGGCUUUUCUUCCGUGUGGUAGUGGUACAAGUUCCCAUGUCUUGUUCUUGUGUAGAGCUUUAAUUUCUUCCUGCAUUGUUGUCAUCCACAAAGCAACAUCUGAGCUGUUUAAAGCUUCAUGGAAAGUUGAAGGCUCUUAAUCCUCUGUUAGAAAACAGUAUGCAACGUUGAUCUCUGUGACAUACUCCGAGUGCCAGAUUGGCGGUCGUCUCUCACGAGUUGACCGACGAACUUCUGAAGCCUCGGACUCAACUGGUUCUUGUUCUUCGUGCUCUGGUGCUGCUUCAGAAGAAUCUGAAUCUUCUGGAUUAUUUUCCACAUAUACCGGUAUAGUCUCUGACUUUUCUUUUACCCUGCUAUCAUCCUCAUCUCUCCUUUGCAGUUGAUCUUCUAUAAAGAUAACAUCUCUGCUGAUGACGAUCUUGUGGGCAGUGGGGUCCCACAGACGAUACCCCUUUACUCCAUCAGCAUACCCCAAGAAGAUACAUCUUCUAGAUUUUGGAUCCAGCUUUGUUCUUUCUUGGGCAUUGUACAUCACGUACACAGGACAUCCAAAUGCAUGUAGGUAGGAAUAAUCAGCUGGCUUUCCAGUCCACAUCUCCAUCGCUGUCUUCAACCCAAUUGUUGUAGAUGGUGAUCGAUUUACUAUAUAACAGGCAAUUUUGGCUGCUUCUGCCCAAAAUUAAUUGGGUAGACCAACAGUCCUCAACAUAGCUCUUAUCCAUUCUGUAAGAGUUCUAUUCAUCCGUUCUGCCACUCCAUUUUGUUGAGGAGUGUAUGUCACCGUGAACUGUCUCUGAAUACCUUCUUGCUUACAGAAAGUAAGAAACUCGCCGUCUGUAUACUCUCCACCAUUAUCUGUCCUCAAGCACUUGAUCUUUUUACCAGAUUCAAGUUCCACCCGCACUUUGUAUUCUUUAAACACUGGAAAUACAUCUGACUUUUUCUUAAUUGGAUACACCCAACAUUUUCUGGAAUAAUCAUCAAUGAAAGUCAUCAUGUAUUUUGCACCUCCCAUAGAUAUAUCCGGUGAUUCCCAAACAUCAGAAUGAAUCAAGUCUAGAAUGCAUUUACUUCUAGCAAUAGAUCUACUGAACUUUAAUCUAUGCUGCUUACUUGUAACACAAUGCUCGCAAAAUAGUAAACUUACCGAUUUGAGCCCCGGAAGCAAUUUUCGCUCAGAGAGAAUCUUCAAACCUUGUUCUGACAUGUGACCAAGUUUGAGAUGCCACAUCAUCAUUGACUCUUCUCCAUUUGACGCGACACACGCAUCAGCCUCCUGUAGUGUUUCUCCUUUAAGCAUGAAUAGAUUAGCACCGAUCUUUUCUGCCUUCAUCAAUACAAGCGCACCUUUAACGAUCUUCAUUAUUCCAUUCUCCACAUGAUUUUUGUACCCAUGAUUAUCCAUUUGUCCCAAAGACAAUAGAUUUUUCUUCAAGCCGUUGACAUGUCGUACCUCCCCAAUUGUGCGAAUUGUACCAUCAAACAUUUUUAUUUUGAUAGUACCAAUACCAGCGAUCUCUAAGGCAUGAUCAUCUCCCAUAUAUACAGAUCCUCCUGAGAUAUGUUCAUAUGUGUGGAACCAUUCUCUCCGAGAGGUCAUGUGCCAGGUAGCUCCUGAGUCUAUAAGCCAGACAUCAGACAAUCGUUUUCUGCCUUCUGAAACAGUUGUUGCCUCACUGUAGAGAAUUUCGCCAUCAUCUGAGGUACUUGCUACACACCCCUGAGCAUUUGAUGACUCAGGUUCUUUGCCCUCUCCUUUCUUCUGGUUACUCCAACACUCUUUCUUGACGUGCCCUUUCUUGUCACAGUUGUAGUAUUUAACAUUCUUCUUACUUCUGGAUUUUGAUCUACCAUUAUUGUGACUCCCACUAGGGCCACGUUCCGUUGAUCUCCCUCUCGUCACCGAUAGCGCCUCCGCUUGCUGCGAACUUGCUUGUCUGUUUUCUUUAUUUUUCCGCCUGCUCUCCUCAUUUAAUACGGAGGCUGAAACAUCAUCGAAAAUUAGAUUGUCCGAUGGAUUGUUGUUCGUCAGAUUGAUGAUGAGUUGAUCAUACGAAUCUGGUAGACUUUGAAGUAGAAGCUCUGCACGUUCAUUUUCCUCUAUAUUAUGACCCAACGUUGUGAGUUAUGAAAAUAGAGUCUUCAAAGUGUUGAUGUGAUCGGUCACCAUUGUAGAUUUCGCCAUUCGAAAAGUAUAGAGUUUCCUCUUCAAGAAGAUUUUGUUGUGUAAUGACUUGGCCUCGUACAAUUUUGUAAGAGUAUCCCAAAUUUCCUUCGCUGUAUUUUUCUCUGCCACACUGGAUAAUACUCCAUCUGCAAGUGCCAAGUGUAGAUCAAAAAUGGCGUUGCCAUCUAUCUCGUUCCACUUGUCAUCAGUUAUCUCCAUGGGCCUUUCUCCAAUUGCUGCCAAGUAAUUAUUUUUCCUCAAUACAUCUUUCAUUUUCAUUUUCCACAACGAAAAAUUAUUUCCAUUAAAUUUCUUAAUUUCAUACUUUGCCGCCAUUUUGUUGAUAAAUACUGCACACAAGCUAGUGUACCACUUUGAAUAGUUGUGAGUAUGUGUUAGAAUGCACACCAGGAAAGUUCCCAGGAAAGACUGGAGGGGUCACAAUGGUCCCACUUAAAACCCAUACUCCUUAAGCUCUUAUCGCCUUUGUGACAGACCUUUCCUAGAAAUGUACAAAAAACCACACAGUUGUUUUACUCACACCACUAUUCCCUGCUUUGCACUACAAAAUUCUUGGAUCGCUCCCACCGUUUCACGUAGUACCGUAUACGUGAAACAGUACCGUAUACGUGAACAGUACCUGACUCCAAAAAAUACAACCAAUAGCUCUGAUACCACUGUUAGGAAAUUGGUGGGUGAAGCAGGACCGCAGCUAAAAUAAAAUUGGAAGAAAAAUAAAGAACAAGCACAAAAGAGAAUACCAAAAAUUACGUGGUUCGGCUUUUAGCCUACGUCCACGGGCGAAGACAGAAGGAAAAUAUUAUACCAGUGAAAAUGAAUUACAAGUAUUGUAGUAUUUUAACUCACUACCUAAAAACCUUAAUACACCCAAACUCUCAAAUCACUAAGCACAUAAAAUUCUUUGCUCUUGCAAGAAUUACUUCUCACAACUCUCAACUCUUGCUACAAAAAUUGAAUGCAAAUAAAUUAGGGAGCUCUCCCUUUUAUAGCCAAAAAAUGACUAUUAAAUUAAUAUAUAUAUAUUUCAAAUGUUGUUGCCAACUUCUUCUUUUUCUUUGGACGGCACCAAAACUUUUAACAUUUUCUUUGGUCGGCUUGUCAAAGCCAACUUGAAUUUGCCUUGUGGCCACCGACUUUGACAACCUUAUCUUAUCUUAACUAAAUCUAGUGACCUUUUUAUUUUCAUAAUUGAUCUUUAUCUAUAAUCAAUCAAAUGGUGUCUGCUCGAUAUUUAUCAGUUUGGAUAAUUUUUUUUAUUUAAAAAAAUCUGAAUUUUGACGUAACUCACUUUAGUUUCCAUCUUCCUCACUGAACCGGUGACGACAACGCACUUACGUAGGUAGAUUUGUUUCAGGUGCAUAAUUAUUAACUAUGCAAGUCGAGAUAAUAAUUAAUUAGACACGUGUUUCUUUUGAGAUGGGAAAAUUUCAUAAUGAUAAUUUAUUAAAAAUUAUUACUCUUUGUUAAUCUUGGACAUAAUAAUUAGAAAUCUAUUUAAUUAGCUUAAACGUUAAAUUUAAAGUUGAAGUUGUGUGUGAAGUUCACUUAACUUUUAUCACCUUUAUUUCGAAUGGCGCCUCCGACGAACGGCAAUGGCAGGCUCAAUCAGAGAUGGACUGUCCAGGGCAUGACUGCGCUUGUAACUGGUGGAACCAAAGGACUAGGGUUCUUAAUCGAUUCUUAUCUCUCUAGUUAGCUCUUAUAUGCAUUCCUUUCCUAUUAAUAUUGCCUGCAUGUGCUCAUAUUUUUGUCUCUGUUAUUGGUGCAUUGACUAGUCAUGCUGUAGUGGAGGAACUGGCUGAGCUUGGUGCCACUGUGCAUACAUGCUCUAGGAAUGAAGCAGAUCUUAGUGAAUGCAUACGUGACUGGAAAACCAAAGGCUUCAAAGUCACCGGUUCAGUGUGCGAUGUAUCAUCUCGAAU